AUGUCUUCUUCAAGCUCCCGCGCCACCUCGCGGCAGAGCCCGACACGCGUGGAGAUGCCGAUCUUCGUCUGUCCGUGGUGCCGGGCGGGCGUUGAUCGGAGGGUUUCUCACACACCGAAGAACCAUAAUCGUUCGUUUUACGUGUGCAGCGAGAAUGGGGUGAAAUGUUUCUUCCUUUGGGUCAAUGCUCUGGCCAAGACUCUGAUGAAUGAACUGCAAGAAGAGCAUGAAGAAUGGUUGCCCAUGCCACGGAUGGCAGUGGCCGCAGCACGAACUCCGGAAGAAGAGACGGAGGGCGAAGCACGCAAUGACAGAGAGCUAGAUGUUGAGCUUAGGAUGUUGAAGAAGAAGAUUAGGAAGUUCGAAUAUCAAGCACAAAUAUUGCAAUUACUUUUGGGCUUUGUAGGUAUGGUUAUCGCACUGAGUGUAAUGUUGAAAUUGUAUGGAAAGGCAUGA
rnacentral:rRNA from 1 species